rnacentral:sRNA from 1 species
GUCACGCCCGAAGUCAUUACCUCAACCGCAAGGAGGGGGAUGCCUAAGGCAGGGCUAGUGACUGGGGUGAAGUCGUAACAAGGUAGCCGUACCGGAAGGUGUGGCUGGAUCACCUCCUUAAAGGGAGACCUAAUUCAGGUAUGGGAUGAAAAAAAGUAGUCCCAACCAAGAAUCAAUCCCAAAAGGUCGGAGCGAGGCAAAAUUGGCUUUCAAACUAGGUUCUGGGUUCACACAAGACCUGAAUCAGGAACAAGGGCGAUUAGCUCAGGUGGUUAGAGCGCACCCCUGAUAAGGGUGAGGUCCCUGGUUCGAGUCCAGGAUGGCCCACCUGCACAGGUGCCAAAACAAAGAAAAAAAGCUCCGAAUCAGCCCCUUAUCUUACUUAUAUAGUAAGAGAGAAUGCUGGCUCUGAGUACAGAGUCCAGAGGAACCUUGAAAACUGCAUAGAGCUAGGUGAAAAAGCCAAAAAAGAAGACCGCAAGGUCAAGCUAAUAAGGGCUAACGGUGGAUACCUAGGCACACAGAGG